rnacentral:lncRNA from 1 species
CAUUAAACGACAGAGUAAUGUACAAUGUGAAACCGUGCAGACGUGUGUUCUUCUACAGCUAGGCUAGAUAUAACACUAGUGUCUGCUGGUUUUUGGUUUUGACUUUCAAUUAAGACCUAGACAAACAGGACCUGAAUGCUUUAUGCUUUGAAUAAGUAUGCGACACGACCUUACCUGCCAGAAUGACUAAUCCCUGACGACCACAGAAAGCAAGUCUUCAGCAUUGACACCGGUGGAGUGGUUUGCAUGUCAUUCCAGUAACACUGAGGAAAAAUCAAAUGGAGAGAACAUUGUCAGCUCAGUGGAGGGGAGGGCCAGUCUGCUGCUUUCUCCCUCUGGAGAAGAGUUCUCCGUAGGCUUCACCUGCACGCUCAGUCACAACACCACAGGCCUCGGAGCCAAGAGCCAGUCACUGAACACACAACAAGACAACCAAACCUGUAGGUCAAAGACUCCUUCUCAAAUAAGUAACACGUGCUGAGCAGCCUAAGGUAAGGCUUGCCAUGGAGCAAUGCUCAAAGUGCUCUGUAUUCUUGAUGGUUGUUUAUGUUUUUAAUUGUAAUGUGAAGCCAAUGGCAAGUUUCUUCAUCAUGUGGACAAUAAACUAUUCUAAGCCAAGAUAGGUAUAUCUGUCCAGCACCACUAUGUCUCCUGUGUUCCUUUGGUAUGGUGUUGCCCUCUCUCUCUGGCCCUUCUCCUCUGGAGCACCCAGGCCUCUGGCGAGAAGAGCAGGGGAGACAGCAGAAAAGCCAGGCAGGGAGAGCGAGCCCCCACUCCACUUCAGUCAAUCGGAUCAUGCCUCUCUGUUCCUACUCCUCGCUUACAAGCAAAAACUCAAGAAGGAGCCACCAACACAGAGAAUAGUGAGGUGCUGGAUAGAGGAGGCAAAAUCAGUACUGCAGGACUGUUUUGAGAAUACUGAUUGGAAAGGUUCAUCCACCCAGGACUCAUCCAUUAACAUUGAG